rnacentral:rRNA from 1 species
AAAAGUGAAAGACGGUCUUGCUGUCACUUAUAGAUGGAUCCGCGCUGCAUUAGCUAGUUGGUAAGGUAACGGCUUACCAAGGCAACGAUGCAUAGCCGACCUGAGAGGGUGAUCGGCCACACUGGAACUGAGACACGGUCCAGACUCCUACGGGAGGCAGCAGUAGGGAAUCUUCCGCAAUGGGCGAAAGCCUGACGGAGCAACGCCGCGUGAGUGAUGAAGGUCUUCGGAUCGUAAAACUCUGUUAUUAGGGAAGAACAUAUGUGUAAGUAACUGUGCACAUCUUGACGGUACCUAAUCAGAAAGCCACGGCUAACUACGUGCCAGCAGCCGCGGUAAUACGUAGGUGGCAAGCGUUAUCCGGAAUUAUUGGGCGUAAAGCGCGCGUAGGCGGUUUUUUAAGUCUGAUGUGAAAGCCCACGGCUCAACCGUGGAGGGUCAUUGGAAACUGGAAAACUUGAGUGCAGAAGAGGAAAGUGGAAUUCCAUGUGUAGCGGUGAAAUGCGCAGAGAUAUGGAGGAACACCAGUGGCGAAGGCGACUUUCUGGUCUGUAACUGACGCUGAUGUGCGAAAGCGUGGGGAUCAAACAGGAUUAGAUACCCUGGUAGUCCACGCCGUAAACGAUGAGUGCUAAGUGUUAGGGGGUUUCCGCCCCUUAGU